CAGUUACCACGUGAAGGUCUCGUUCUCCACGAUGAAAGAUUAGUGUUUAAGGUACUGUGAUCGAUGAAGCACAUGCUAGUAUUGCGGAAGAUUAGUUAAGAGUUCCUCGCCCAGGUCUUCGUGGCCCAAAGGAUGUCGGCCAGCCACCGUGUCAUCCUCUGCUGUGGCGGUCUGCGGAUGCGGUACGGAGGGGGCUCUUCAGUCGCCAUUACGAUGCUGAGUGCACCCUGUACCAGUCCUCCCACCUUGGCAGUUCCGGGAGUCGAAUUCAGGUCCUCCGAAUGGCAGCCAUCUACGCUGACUUCUGAGCUAUGGAGGUGGACAUUGAGGAAGAUUGGGAGCUGACUCUGUUCCACCAAUGACCCAGCAACUACUGACACUUAGAUAUCUGGCCUCUGGUGAAUUCCUUCAGUCCAUUUAAGACUUCAUUGACAU